rnacentral:rRNA from 1 species
UACAGAGGUCCCAAGCGUUGUUCGGAUUCACUGGGCGUAAAGGGUGCGUAGGUGGCAGGGUAAGUUUGAUGUGAAAUCUCCGAGCUUAACUGUGAAACUGCAUUGGAUACUAUCCGGCUCGAGGAAUGGAGGGGAGACUGGAAUACUUGGUGUAGCAGUGAAAUGCGUAGAUAUCAAGUGGAACACCAGUGGCGAAGGCGAGUCUCUGGACAUUUCCUGACGCUGAGGCACGAAAGCCAGGGGAGCAAACGGG